GACGAACGCUGGCGGCGUGCCUAAUACAUGCAAGUAGAACGCACAGGAUGCACCGUAGUUUACUACACCGUAUUCUGUGAGUUGCGAACGGGUGAGUAACGCGUAGGUAACCUGCCUGGUAGCGGGGGAUAACUAUUGGAAACGAUAGCUAAUACCGUAUAAGAACAUUUACUGCAUGGUAGAUGUUUAAAAGGUGCAAGAGCAUCACUACCAGAUGGACCUGCGUUGUAUUAGCUAGUUGGUGAGGUAACGGCUCACCAAGGCAACGAUACAUAGCCGACCUGAGAGGGUGAUCGGCCACACUGGGACUGAGACACGGCCCAGACUCCUACGGGGGGCAGCAGUAGGGAAUCUUCGGCAAUGGGGGGAACCCUGACCGAGCAACGCCGCGUGAGUGAAGAAGGUUUUCGGAUCGUAAAGCUCUGUUGUUAAGGAAGAACGUGUGUGAGAGUGGAAAGUUCACACAGUGACGGUACUUAACCAGAAAGGGACGGCUAACUACGUGCCAGCAGCCGCGGUAAUACGUAGGUCCCGAGCGUUGUCCGGAUUUAUUGGGCGUAAAGCGAGCGCAGGCGGUUAGAUAAGUCUGAAGUGAAAGGCAGUGGCUCAACCAUUGUAGGCUUUGGAAACUGUUUAACUUGAGUGCAGAAGGGGAGAGUGGAAUUCCAUGUGUAGCGGUGAAAUGCGUAGAUAUAUGGAGGAACACCGGUGGCGAAAGCGGCUCUCUGGUCUGUAACUGACGCUGAGGCUNGAAAGCGUGGGGAGCGAACAGG
rnacentral:rRNA from 1 species